AAUCAGAUGAGUGUCUCAUUAGAUUAUCAGCAGUCAUCAAAACCUGCAAAAGAGCUCUGCUAAAUGAUUGUGGCUUAACUGACAAAAGCUGCCCAGCUCUGGCUUCAGUUCUUGGAUCAGAUACCAAUCUGAAAGAGCUGAACAUGAACAAUAAUAAUCUGCAGGAUUCAGGAGUGAAGCUGCUCUGCACUGGACU